GAUGGCUUGGCAUGUAGAACACCAGUUUCUGAUGGAAAUCACACUAGUUUAUUCUGUUGAAUUUUGCGGGCAUUCAAACAGUUUCUACAUUUGGGAGGAAAUCAUCCAGCAUGAUGAGGCCUGGGGCUGCCCCAACCCCUAACUUCCCUUCCAUGUCCUCCAUUCAGAGCCCAGGUGGAAGGACACUGGAAGCAGAAGGAUCCCCAGAGAUGGUGCCUCCGUCACACUGGCCUGCUGUCCCCGCCGGAGGCUGAAGAGACUGGAUCAUCUGGCUUCUAACUUGUAAAAAAAGAGUCUCCCUCCAGACAGCUGGGAAAAAUACCCAAUUUGGCUGUGGCACCCAGGGAUUUGGAGCCGGCAUGAAUGCUGUUCCCUGGACCAUUGGCCACUACCCAGGCAGAUGUGCUGAGAGCCACAACCAGGAAGACGAGGGAGAGAGUGCCGCAGAGCGUGGCUGCAAUCCUGCACCCUGGCAUCCUGGACACUUUCCCAGGCCUCAAGUCUCCCCUGGUGCAUGAGAAGCUUGAGAUGUGUUGACGGGAGUUAAGACGCAGCCCACAUCCUCACUCAUCGCCCCUGCCAGAGCAGCCUGAGAGCCCAGGUGGAAGGACACUGGAAGCAGAAGGAUCCCCAGAGAUGGUGCCUCCGUCACACUGGCCUGCUGACCCCGCCGGAG